CUAGAUAUAAGAUCCGGCCGUACCUUUUUCUUUCCCUGCCCUAAAAACCCCCAUUCUUCUCUCCUUUCCUUUCUGACAGCGCCUACUUCACGCCUCAUCUCCUCUCCGCCCCAGCGACGGAGCUUCUCACCUCGACACAGCUCAGGCCAAGCUUUGCAACUCAUAGCCGAUCCCGUGAGGGACAUCCUGAUCGGGCGAAGCUCAUCCGCAGAGCAGCAUCCGGGGCGAGGAUUGCUGGCGGGGAUGCGAGAAGUAAAAGGCAAGUUCAUUCUUAUAUGCUGGUAUGAGAUCGGAGGGGUAAGGAAUGGGUAGUUAGAUGGAUUUAAACUGCUUGUUUGUGAUGCCGAUGGUUCGAAGGGGGGCGUUGCGAUUUGACCGUUCCGUAAUGUUUUGUUUCAAUCGAUGAAUCUUGCUGGUUUCCACUAAGGAUUUUUGGUGGGUGUUAUCAAAUUAGGUUUUGCUCGGGUUUUCUUGAUAGCUUGAGUUUCGUAACUAGAUCUUGUUGGUUUUGGCUAUUUUGUGGACGCUUUGUUCCCUCCUAGUGUUUUAAGGUUUGAUCAAAGACAUGCUGGACUGAUUUGGAAGGUGUGACUUCAUUUUUUUUAUUGUUGUUUUGUUCUUCGUAUAGCUGCAAUUCUGGUGUGGAUGCACUUCAAUAAGGUUCAGGUUCCUCAGAUAGCUAUGGAUUCCAUGCGAUUUUGCUUUGAUGUGGUUUUGUUCCUCAGACAGCUGUGGUUCUGUGUGAUUUCUAUUUGGUGUUGUUUUAUUUCUUUGAAUAGCUAUGGAUUGUUGAGAUUUACGCCAUGAGUACGGAUGCCUUUUCUGCUGUCACUGGAAUGCUGUAUAAACUUGGAAUGUUGUGGGUUUCUCCGCGAGGUUGUUCUGGGUCGGUGUAGUGCUAUUCGGCUUUGUUUUGUAGAUAGUUAUGGAGUUGUGUUUCUGCUUUCCUUUGUUUCACAGCAAUUGUUGGGUUUUAAGCUUUAUUCGGUGAAACUUUGGUGUUCUUAUGGUAUCUUAAGUUGCUGGUCGGAUUUGAAUUAGAACAAUAAUAAUGGUCGGAAGCUUUGUUUCUGAAUCGCUAUGUAAUCUGAAGAUGUUCUGUUCUCCAAAUAGCUGUGGAUUCGUUGUUGAUUUUAAUUCUAAGAUGUUCCGCCUUCUUACAUAGUUACAGAUUCUUUGUGAAUUUUGGGAAGUAUGGAUUUGAUUCAACGUUGUUUGCACCCUGUUUUGCAUCACUGAAUUUAUAUAGCAGUUUUUGAAAUCAAAUUGAUGUGUUUGGCUGCUUCGAUUAAUGGAUGCAAUGGUGAUCUUGGAAUUUUGAUUCAUUUUAUUUCACGGAGUCUUGCGAUUGUUGGGAUUGGGAUCAGUUGGGAGUUUCGUUGGAUUUUUGCUUUGUAAAGUCGUGAUGGUAUUCUUGUAUAGCUGUUAAAGGAUCGUGGAAGUUUUAUUGUGGUUUUGCUGUGGUUCUGCUGUGGUUUCCUAUAGGGAUUCGGGUAACAGGAAUCAUGUGUCUUUGCUAGUAUUAAUAUUGUGAUCGGUUCUCAGUUUGGAUA